rnacentral:rRNA from 1 species
AAAUUGAAGAGUUUGAUCAUGGCUCAGAUUGAACGCUGGCGGCAGGCCUAACACAUGCAAGUCGAACGGUAGCACAGAGAGCUUGCUCUCGGGUGACGAGUGGCGGACGGGUGAGUAAUGUCUGGGAAACUGCCUGAUGGAGGGGGAUAACUACUGGAAACGGUGGCUAAUACCGCAUAACGUCGCAAGACCAAAGAGGGGGACCUUCGGGCCUCUUGCCAUCAGAUGUGCCCAGAUGGGAUUAGCUAGUUGGUGAGGUAACGGCUCACCAAGGCGACGAUCCCUAGCUGGUCUGAGAGGAUGACCAGCCACACUGGAACUGAGACACGGUCCAGACUCCUACGGGAGGCAGCAGUGGGGAAUAUUGCACAAUGGGCGCAAGCCUGAUGCAGCCAUGCCGCGUGUAUGAAGAAGGCCUUCGGGUUGUAA